AGAGGGUGAACGGCCACAUUGGGACUGAGACACGGCCCAAACUCCUACGGGAGGCAGCAGUGGGGAAUAUUGCACAAUGGGGGAAACCCUGAUGCAGCGACGCCGCGUGAGUGAAGAAGUAUUUCGGUAUGUAAAGCUCUAUCAGCAGGGAAGAAAAUGACGGUACCUGACUAAGAAGCCCCGGCUAACUACGUGCCAGCAGC
rnacentral:rRNA from 1 species